UACGUAGGGGGCGAGCGUUGUCCGGAAUUAUUGGGCGUAAAGAGCUCGUAGGCGGUUUGUUGCGUCUAUCGUGAAAACCUGCAGCUUAACUGUGGGCUUGCGGUGGAUACGGGCAGACUUGAGUUCGGUAGGGGAGACUGGAAUUCCUGGUGUAGCGGUGAAAUGCGCAGAUAUCAGGAGGAACACCGGUGGCGAAGGCGGGUCUCUGGGCCGAUACUGACGCUGAGGAGCGAAAGCGUGGGGAGCGAACAGG
rnacentral:rRNA from 1 species